UAAAAGAAACAUCAUGUCAUUCACAACAAUCAAAUCAAAAUCAUACUUAACAAUAGAAAAAAUAAAAUAAAUCAUGAAAUGCUUAGAUUUUUGUGUCAUGCUUCACGAAGUUGUUCCAACUUCCAUCUGUGAGGGCAAAUACAAAUUUUUGACUACGCAUGUGGAAUGACCAGAUUAGAUAUAUAACGGCAAUUCGUUCAAGC
rnacentral:lncRNA from 1 species